UAACAUACAAAGAUUCAACGUAGACAGAUUAAAUA
rnacentral:misc_RNA from 1 species